UGAUGACUCCAACACAUCUCCGAAUCUGAUAAACACAUUUUGGCUUGAUUUGAAAGUCAUGCUGAAAGUACUAACUCAGCCUUCCCCUCACCAAGAAAAAUAAGAUUUUAACUUGUUAAAGGUUAAAGUACUUAAACGUUGUUUCUUUCAUUCACAAAAAGACAGACCUUUUUCUUCGCAUUGCUCAUAUAAUGCACCAUACAAUUUUUUUGCCUUCAUUAUCUUUAACAUAAUAGUGUAUUUAAAGGUGUUAUAGAGGCUUAUAAUUAAACAUAGAUUUCACAGACUUGGAAUUUGAAAGCUAUUUAAAAGUUUUAGUUCAAGAUGAAGCUAUUAGAAGUUUGAACAAAAAAGACAUUCAAAUAUCUUAAAUGUGUUCUAUAACUAAAACAUACUUGCAUCGCAUAUGCUUUUUUAAACAAAAUUAUUCAUUUUAUUAUUUUUUUCAAUGGAGAAGUGAAAGGGUUCAUAGAUUUAGGAGACUAUAGAGUUUUUAAUUAUUUACUCCCCAUUUUCCGCCCAACAUUUAUAAAUUUUUAUUUCAAGACACAAUAUAAAAAUGCUAAAUGCCAGUGGAAAUAUCAAAACUAUUAUUUUUGGUGAUACUGUAAUACAAAAUCUAAGUAAGUAUCUAACUGCUAUGUCUACUUUGAUGGAGGACAAAAUGGAAUGAGUAACACAUUGAGGAAAUAUAAGUUGCCUUGGCCAUAAAAGAUAAAGGAGAAAAGAGAGAUGGUGGAGGUUUCAUGCUUUUUUGCUUUUUGAGAAGGUUUCAUUGAUAGUAAUUUCAAUAAAGGGCGGAGGAGAUUGAUUUCCUUUUAGCAGAUAAACAAGCUGUGUCCUUUUACGUGUAGAAUUCCCUUAUUCUUAUGCACGCAUAUAGAAAAACAUAGACAUAUGUAUGCUAACUUACAAUAGGCUCAUACAUUUUUUUAUGUUUUGCCUUUUGUUUUCAACAAAGUAACAUGGUGGAGAAUGAUGGGGAAACUAUCUUGCUAUUCAAGUUUUGAAUGAUCUGAACAGUGGGUUGCUCAAGCUCUGUUUGAAAGAUUAACAAACUUGAAAUGAAGAUUGGACUUGUCUCAAUUAUAUCGGGAAUGAUAGAACAAGCUAUAUAAUCUGAAACUACUAAUGACUAUUAUUUUGACUAAAUGUGCAAGUCAUUCCUGUAACACAAUUUUUAUUGAACUUUUCAACAUUCCUUUUUAAAGCAAUUUUAUGGGUCUGUUAUCAAAUCAGACUAUAUUGUACUGAGACUUGGUUUUGUCAUGACACAUUGCAGGGGAAAUCCAAAGUUCAAUUUUCACAACUAUAUGAUCCGUGCUUUGGAAGAUGAUUUUAAGAAAGUCGUUGGUAUAAGGCAAGUUAUAGCUAGGAUUUCCUGUGCAAAUUGUACAGCUUCUUAUUUAUUCUUCUGUGUUUGCUGGGUGUAUUGCCAAAAAUAAAAUUCGAAAAGAGAGAGGAUAACAUUUGCGGCUGCUGGUUUGUCACUACCUAGUGCUAGGAGGGGUAAUCUAGGGAUAUUGUCUCAAAAACAAAAAACAAAAAAUCUUUUUAUUUUUAAUCUGCAUCUUGUUUAAUAUCUAAUUUGGCUUGUUGCAGUUGGUAUUUAUGGAUAUUUGUGGUCGACUUCUUGUUGCUGAACAUUAAUGGUUUAACAAGAGGUUAUUGUGAUCCACUCAAUGCUUAGGUUCUUUACUUGGAAGGAAGUAGAGUGUUUUUAUUCUGUUUUAUUAACAUGUUUAUUGUGCUUGUAACACUUUGAAGAAAGUAUUUAUCCUACAUGUUUUCUUUCUGCCAUAGCUGGUGGGUUUCACAUAGAAUACGCUGUAGUGGCUAAUGGGUAUUCCAUUGAAAGCGUUUUGUUUAAAUACAAGUCAAUUCUAAGUGUUUACUACUGAAUGGGUUUUGUAAAUCUCAUUCCAAGAUCGAUCCUUGUGCAAAAUUUGUCUUUUGCUCUCAUUGCAAUUUCAUUUGAGAUGCAUACAGAUGAAUGAGCGUUCUGUUUUUUUUUUUUUUUAAAUUUACUAUUCAGCUUCUACUUGCUGUGGGAACUAAGUUGGAGCAUGUAAUCACCUAGUUAGGUCACGAGGUUGCAGAGAAACACAUUGCAAUUGAAGGGGAAUUAGUAGUGCAACUUUCAGAUAAUCAUUUUUGGUUCCAUCGGCCCCCCAUUGUCCUUUUCCAAUACAUUUCAUACUGUUCCAAAAUGCUUUUGAGAUAGCAUUUUUCUUCUGGAUAUGGUUGCAAUAUGGCUUUGACUCCGACAUAAUGGGACAUGUCCGUUUUAUUAUCCCCAGGCUCGUUAUAGGGGUAUUUGUUCAAGUACUCUGCAGUUAUAGCACCCUACUACUCUAUGGCAUUGUGACACAGAGCAAGAAACAUCCUAAUGAGUUUGCAGAGGAACUUGUGAAGGAUGCUGAUCAGAAAGUAAUUUCUAGACAGACAAUCAUUUUGUUCAUGUAAUGAUAAAACUAUUUUGUAUUCUAACCAAGGACGUUCAAUGGUCGUUACAGUUAAAUUAGUUUAUAAAUUGACAUCUUUAUAUUUAUGUUUAGACACGUACUCUAUAUUUAUGUGUGUAGAUGGAUAUAUGAAUUCAUUGACAGAUGAAAUUGUACCUCUUAUCCUCAGGCAACAAUAAAUGUUGGGGGGCACUUGCUAAAUGCAAUCACCAUCAAACAUUUCACCUUGGGACUGCCUUACCACUCAAAAUAUGAUAGCAAGGGUAAGGAGGUUGAUCUCAGCACAUAAAAAGGGAAGGUUCUUGUUGUCAACGUU